GUCACGAUCGGCCGAUGCAAACUGAAAUGUUUCUCACAGACCAAAUAAAUGAAUGAUUGACAUUAUAUUCUCUGUCACACCUGCCGUGAUUUCUGAGAGUCUUACUGUCUGUUUUCACUAACGUGGACAAAAUUCAUCCAAUAUCACCUGGGGCGGACUGACCGGAGGGACAUUCUGUCAAAGUCCAGAACGGCCGUGACCAGGGACGGACUGGCCAUCUGGAUCCCCGGAACUUUUCCCAGUGGGCCGCUAUGGUAUGGUGGCGGAAUGGACGCGUGGGCUGGACAGACGGACGUAUGAUAAAUGCAAAAGCAUGCAACACGAAGGUGCACUCGCUGCAGUCUGUGACUUCUGUUGAGUUUUAAGAUGACGCUUACGGUACCUGCAUAGAUAUUCAGCCUUGGGUUCAAGUCACAUGAGAUGUGCGUGUGGAUGUUCUGGACCCGUCCUGCAUUUAAAGUCUGAAUGAUUUUCUCCACGCAAACAAACAGAAAAAAACAGUCCCUUAAUGUAGAUCACAGAUCAAUGUGCUACAGUCUCGCAUGCAAACGUACCGAAUGUUAGAAGAUGCUGUUAUGACAGUCGCAAAUGUUUCAACUUCCCACAUUCCUUCUAUAGACUACAUUGAGAUUCAAAUGAAAGCAACGUCUGUAAUAUAAGAUUUCAGUUUUCUUUUCACACAUGCUGGUUGGGGUCAAACAUGGACAUUUUCUAGGUUCAUUUAAUCCAUAUUUUUCUCAACGUAAAGUAUAUACUACAAAAAAUGCAAAAACAGGACAUGAAAACAAUGUGCAGUUCAUUGUUGUAAUCAUAACUGAACAAGGCCAAUGUCAAAAGAUGUAGAAUCGUUGUUAUAUAACAGUUUUUUUAGGGCUGAUAAUGGCCGGAGAGCUCUACUUCAUUACAUUUACCCACGAAUUAGUUCAAACGCUGCAAAUUUCGUAAAUCUAUUGAGAUUUCUACAUCUGUGGCUUGAAAAAUAUGUCUCAACUAGAAUUCCUAAAUAAAUACAGUAAACAA